UACGGAGGGUGCAAGCGUUGUUCGGAAUCACUGGGCGUAAAGGGCGUGUAGGCGGUCUGUUAAGUCUGGUGUGAAAUCCCCCCGCUCAACGGGGGAACGGCGCCGGAUACUGGCAGACUCGAGUACCGGAGAGGAAGGUGGAAUUCCCGGUGUAGCGGUGAAAUGCGUAGAUAUCAGGAGGAACACCGAUGGCGAAGGCAGGUCUCUGGGCCACUACUGACGCUGAGAAGCGAAAGCAUGGGGAGCGAACAGGAUUA
rnacentral:rRNA from 1 species